rnacentral:tRNA from 1 species
UAGUUUAGUGGUCAGAACAUCGGUGCGUAAAGCCAAAGGUACCGGGUUCGAUUCCCGG